UACGUAGGGUGCGAGCGUUAAUCGGAAUUACUGGGCGUAAAGCGUGCGCAGGCGGUUGUGUUAAACAGGCGUGAAAACCCCGGGCUCAACCUGGGAAUGGCGCUUGUGACUGCACAGCUGGAGUGCGGCAGAGGGGGAUGGAAUUCCGCGUGUAGCAGUGAAAUGCGUAGAUAUGCGGAGGAACACCGAUGGCGAAGGCAGUCCCCUGGGCCUGCACUGACGCUCAUGCACGAAAGCGUGGGGAGCAAACAGG
rnacentral:rRNA from 1 species